CUAGUCGCCGUCCGUCCACUUCCGUUUCGGUUUCGAAGAUCGAGGAUUACGCUGCGACAGUAGCUAACUUCGCGUCAGAUCUGCAAGUUCCCGAAAAACCGAAGAGCCGGUGUAGCACAUAAGAGCCAGUGACAGUAAACUGGAAAACAUUGCACAGCCAGAUACAUAGUGCUUACUUACCUGGACCGCGCAGCCGCUUUAGGUCUUGGUGAACCAAGCGGAGAAGCAACCGGUGAAGCGACCAAUCGGCGCUCCUUAUCGCUGACGCGGCGUGCAAGCGACACGAUGUAGGUGUGUGUGUGCGCCGAUAUACAUACACACGGGCAAAGGUAUCGGCGUGUCGUAUCGGUUGUGUUCAGCUAUCCGCACACGGUGGGAUUGCGGCUUUUGCCGCGCGAUUCGAUCGAGGGAACACCGCGAACUUCAGCUCGCGAGCGUAGAGAGAUCGCGGUUUCUUCGGUACGCUUCGUUUUACUUCGGUUACCCUCGGCUCGCUUUUGCCUCACACUAGCGGGGGCGUGACUCCACAUACCACCAGGAAGAGUGGCCCUGUCGCGAUUUCCCAUAAAUGGCGUACCUUCAGGAGGAAACGAGUAUCCGGUUAUCCGUUCUAGUAUACGAAGAUAACCUGUUACGUCAACUUUAGCAAAUGCAGUUCCUCCGUUAUGUGUCUUCAGGUCUAAAAUGUUCACUUCUUAUAUAGGUAUACGGUAGAAAAUAUAUACGACACGACAAAUCUAAGUGAAAGUAUUGCAAAAUCCAA